rnacentral:rRNA from 1 species
UGUAGAGAAUCUGCCCUGUACUGGGGGACAACAGAGGGAAACUUCUGCUAAUACCCCAUAUGAGCGUACCUGCGAUGGUAUUCUUGAAAGUUCCGGCGGUACAGGAUGAGUCUGCAUCUGACUAGCUAGUUGGUGGUGUAAUGGACUACCAAGGCGACGAUCAGUAGCUGGUUUGAGAGGAUGAUCAGCCACAAUGGGACUGAGACACGGCCCAUACUCCUACGGGAGGCAGCAG